rnacentral:lncRNA from 1 species
UGUGCCGUCGCACUUCACCUCACUCCUCCCUCUCCUAACGGCGUGACGUAGUUUAUGGAUGCUCUGGUGUAUGUAUCUCCUUGGUGUAUAUAAGCACACGCAGUAAUCGGUAUAAAUAUAUAUAUAUAUAUACCUGGCUCUCGUUUGAUGCAUUCCCCAUUUAUGUUUUCUCGGAGAUACGCGUUUGAAGAAUGCAUCCCGCUUCUCGGUAAUACGCGAAAAUUUUCGUAAAUGCGCGAUUUGGAGUAAAAAUCGAAAUUUCUUCAUUUACUUCGGAGAUAAUAAAAUUGGUGCUAUAAUCGUCAAAUAGUGGUAAAAUUUGAAAAUGUAUCGGUUUCUGUACAAAAAUCGCAAAACGGAAGAUGAAUUGAGCGCUAUCGCACCAGUACAGCGUCUAUAGGUUGUACUGUAUAAAGACUGCGGGAAGAUGGGAAUCCUAAAAAUCGAAGAAAUAACAAUGGCUAUUUUAUUCUUUGUACCAUCGAAACAAUACGUUUAGUCAUCGCACUACGUACGCGAUAGCCAGGUAUAUUUUCACCUCUACGUUAAUGCUUCGUUCUUUGUUAGCCGUUCUAUCACAUUUUAGUAGUAGCCCUUCAGUAGGAGGCUGGGGAAGACACAUCUGGGCCGGUUCGAUCGAAGGAAAAUUCCAUCGGAAAAUAACACCGCCACAACUUUCGCUGAUGUCGCGUUACUUCGAGUAGGCUUGAUAAGCGCAAUCUACCUAAGUGCGGGAAUUUUCUGAAACGCUCUACAUCGGACACGUGUCAAAAAAGUCCUCGUUUUGCGCGUUUUUAAUUUAGGUGGUCAUUUAAAGAAACCACCUACCGCGUAACUACGAGAACUAAAUGUGUGUGUGUAAAUGUAUAAAAUUAGAAAAUAAAAUAUGUUUUAGCGUAAAAACCCUGCCAGAGACGACCGAAUUGGUGGCUUGGACUUUCCACUUUGGACCACCCGAGUCCCACCGCUUGGAAAUAUUUAUGGUGGGAUCCGGUUCCGGUCCGUCGAUCUCCGUCCUUCGCAGUCCGGCUGACCUUUCCGCAGGAGUAGGCAGCCUUAAGAAGUGUUUGUUUUUCCCGCCACUUAGUACUCUUUCUGAAUGUAAAGUGUGAAAAAACCCUGGCCAGAUAAAUCUAAAUCGAAUAUCACACACUACAGAAUGGUGCUAUUAAAUUUUAUAUUGAAGAGAAUUGGCGCGUGUUGCCUGUCGUAUUUUUUGCCCGAUGAUUUUUCGAGAAACAACAAAUUGACAGAACAUGGCAGGCAUUUCAAUAUUUUACAAUCGAUUGUCUCGAGGACUUUUUGCAGUUGGAUGGUUCCAGCAAAUGGAAACGAAAAAAUUAAAAGCCAUUAUACCGGGUCUUUCUGAGCGCCGGUGCCGGCGGUUUUUCUCGUGGCUGGGACGCCGCGGGGCGUCGGGGUGAGGGAAUUGAC